GUUUUGUGUCUGUUGUGCGAUUAUUAUUCAUAUAAUGUUAGUAUUCAAUGUUGUCUGACUAUAUAUUCAGACAACAAUUUUUCUAUGUCUGUUGUGCAACUCUCCUUCCGACAAUAAUUGUGUGUGUUUCUGUUAUCUAAAUUUUUAAACGCUGCUGCCCUAAUUGAAUUCCCACAUUUAGCCAAAAUUCAAUUUUUCGACUCCCUCCAUUUCAAUAAAUAACACGAAGUCGUUUUAGCACUUGGCCAAAAUUCCCACACUUAUACUCGUCUCCACUCUCUCUAUCUCUCUCUCACACACACAUUAAGACCAGAAGGAUUUCUCAGACACCAAAUGCCGUCGGCGACGGAAGAACCCAACACGAUGACGUCCUCGACGAUGAUGAUGAUCGACGAGAUUUAUGAGUUCUCAGCCCCGCGCUUCUUCGAUUUCAUCAAGGACGAGACUGACGACGACAAGAUCAAGGCCGAGCUUUGGUUCGAUUCCCUUCCCGUGACGGACGCGACGGACGGGAAGAGGUAUUUUGGCCUUCGCCUUAUAUAUAAAGAUAUAGACAGUAGUCAUGGAUAGAUAGAUGAUAACACUCCACCUUAAUGAAUGAUGGUGAUUGAUUGAUAUAAAGUAUGCUCUUUUCUCCAUUGUUGUUUCAAAUGAAUCUCUCGUAUAGACUCUACUGAGGGAGAGAGGGAGGGAGAGGAAGAGGGAUUUGAUUGGCAUUCAUAAGCUGCUUGCUGAACCUCCCAAUCAUCUUACAUACCCUUAAUCAAAACCUCCGAAUUGUCCACUUUAACCGUCGAUGGCCAAGAGAAGCGCCUCUCCUGAGUGGUUCCAUUGCAACCCAUUUACUGACAUUCAGGGGAUUCGACGUUCGAUAAAAUUCGAAGUAAUAUUUCAUCGAGACUAACCUUUCUCAAAAGUAGUUCUUUAAGAAACAAGCUUAACCUUUUUCUGCCAGAAAACAAAAUCUCCCCUUUCUUCUCCUCCUGAAGCUUCUCUUAGCCCUGUUUACGUCAGUCAAUUUGCAUGCCUUAAUACACCUAUAUCUAAGCCUCUGAUCGAAAAACGUUCUUCAUCAAAGUUGUUCAUCAUCAUCUCUUCUAUAACAUAUCCAAAAAUCAGUGCGAUCAGAUCUGUAAUGAAGUCUGUAAAUCGAUCUGAGUAGAGGUUGGUCAGAAAUCAGCAGAUUUCGAGUUUCAGCUUUUCUUUAUCCUCUUUCCUUAUCAGGAUUCCUCAAAUUCAUUUGGAAUUAAUUCCAUUAAGAGGUCUUACUAUCUUGGCUAUCUGGGCUUCACUUCAGAAUGCAGUGGUAUUUCAUGACUUCAUGAUUGCUACUACUGGGAAGUACUGGCAGUGCUGCUCAAAACCAGCAUAUGUUGCAUAGAGCAUGAGGAGACCCAGCUACAGCGGGAGGGUUCUAAAUAUACUAAUGCUGCUAUUCUUAGAUGUUCAUUAUGUUUUUGGCCUUUAUGUUUAGGGGUAUAUAUAUAGGCAGGGUUAAUUAAUAUAUAUUAAUGUUGGGAUGAACAUACUAUU